AGAGUUUGAUCCUGGCUCAGAUUGAACGCUGGCGGCAGGCCUAACACAUGCAAGUCGAACGGAAACAUGUCUAGCUUGCUAGAUGAUGUCGAGUGGCGGACGGGUGAGUAAUGCUUGGGAACUUGCCUUUGCGAGGGGGAUAACAGUUGGAAACGACUGCUAAUACCGCAUAAUGUCUUCGGACCAAACGGGGCUUAGGCUCCGGCGCAAAGAGAGGCCCAAGUGAGAUUAGCUAGUUGGUGAGGUAAAGGCUCACCAAGGCAACGAUCUCUAGCUGUUCUGCGAGGAAGAUCAGCCACACUGGGACUGAGACACGGCCCAGACUCCUACGGGAGGCAGCAGUGGGGAAUAUUGCACAAUGGGGGAAACCCUGAUGCAGCCAUGCCGCGUGUGUGAAGAAGGCCUUCGGGUUGUAAAGCACUUUCAGUUGUGAGGAAAAGUUAGUAGUUAAUACCUGCUAGCCGUGACGUUAACAACAGAAGAAGCACCGGCUAACUCCGUGCCAGCAGCCGCGGUAAUACGGAGGGUGCGAGAGUUAAUCGGAAUUACUGGGCGUAAAGCGCACGCAGGCGGUUUGUUAAGCUAGAUGUGAAAGCCCCGGGCUCAACCUGGGACGGUCAUUUAGAACUGGCAGACUAGAGUCUU
rnacentral:rRNA from 1 species